rnacentral:lncRNA from 1 species
UCCAUUUCCUUUAUUCAUCCUUUAUAUGUUCUUUGACUUUAAUUUUCAAAUAUCAAUGCAAGUGCAUCCAUGAAUCAAAGAAGAAGAAUAAAUGAAUGCUAUAUUCUCUUCUGGGACAGAACCAAAGUAGGCAAUUUCUGUGAGCUCCACUACUGCUAUUCUGACCUGACAUAUGAUUUGGAAAAC